UUAAGCGACUAAGCGUACACGGUGGAUGCCCUGGCAGUCAGAGGCGAUGAAGGGCGUGCUAAUCUGCGAUAAGCGCCGGUAAGGUGAUAUGAACCGUUAUAACCGGCGAUACCCGAAUGGGGAAACCCAGUGUGACUCGUCACACUAUCAUUAACUGAAUCCAUAGGUUAAUGAGGCGAACCGGGGGAACUGAAACAUCUAAGUACCCCGAGGAAAAGAAAUCAACCGAGAUUCCCCCAGUAGCGGCGAGCGAACGGGGAGGAGCCCAGAGCCUGAAUCAGCAUGUGUGUUAGUGGAAGCGUCUGGAAAGGCGCGCGAUACAGGGUGACAGCCCCGUACACAAAAGCGCAUGUGCUGUGAGCUCGAUGAGUAGGGCGGGACACGUGGUAUCCUGUCUGAAUAUGGGGGGACCAUCCUCCAAGGCUAAAUACUCCUGACUGACCGAUAGUGAACCAGUACCGUGAGGGAAAGGCGAAAAGAAACCCCGGCGAGGGGAGUGAAAAAGAACCUGAAACCGUGUACGUACAAGCAGUGGGAGCCCCACCACCAAAGCAUUCUCUGGUGUUGAAGGCCCUGCAAAGCAGCAUCGCGGUGGCGGAGCGUCGUUUGCGACGCCCAACACACAAAACAAGCGGUGAGUGCUUUGGGGUGGGGUGACUGCGUACCUUUUGUAUAAUGGGUCAGCGACUUAUAUUCUGUAGCAAGGUUAACCGAAUAGGGGAGCCGUAGGGAAACCGAGUCUUAACCGGGCGUUAAGUUGCAGGGUAUAGACCCGAAACCCGGUGAUCUAGCCAUGGGCAGGUUGAAGGUUGGGUAACACUAACUGGAGGACCGAACCGACUAAUGUUGAAAAAUUAGCGGAUGACCUGUGGCUGGGGGUGAAAGGCCAAUCAAACCGGGAGAUAGCUGGUUUCUCCCCGAAAAGCUAUUUAGGUAGCGCCUCGUGAAUUCAUCUCCGGGGGUAGAGCACUGUUUCGGCUAGGGGGCCAUCCCGGCUUACCAACCCGAUGCAAACUGCGAAUACCGGAGAAUGUUAUCACGGGAGACACACGGCGGGUGCUAACGUCCGUCGUGAAGAGGGAAACAACCCAGACCGCCAGCUAAGGUCCCAAAGUCAUGGUUAAGUGGGAAACGAUGUGGGGAAGGCCCAGACAGCCAGGAUGUUGGCUUAGAAGCAGCCAUCAUUUAAAGAAAGCGUAAUAGCUCACUGGUCGAGUCGGCCUGCGCGGAAGAUGUAACGGGGCUAAACCAUGCACCGAAGCUGCGGCAGCGAACGUAUCACCCAAGACAACUUUACGGAGUUGACGAUUGACGGAGCGAAGCGACGUCAAAGCGUUCAUUAAAGUCGAGUUGGCUUAGGGAUACGUUCGUUGGGUAGGGGAGCGUUCUGUAAGCCUGUGAAGGUGUGUCGUGGAGGCAUGCUGGAGGUAUCAGAAGUGCGAAUGCUGACAUAAGUAACGAUAAAGCGGGUGAAAAGCCCGCUCGCCGGAAGACCAAGGGUUCCUGUCCAACGUUAAUCGGGGCAGGGUGAGUCGACCCCUAAGGCGAGGCCGAAAGGCGUAGUCGAUGGGAAACGGGUUAAUAUUCCCGUACUUGGUGUUACUGCGAAGGGGGGACGGAGAAGGCUAUGUUGGCCGGGCGUCGGUUGUCCCGGUUUAAGCGUGUAGGUGUGUGUUCCAGGUAAAUCCGGUUCACUUUAACACUGAGGCGUGAUGACGAGGCACUACGGUGCUGAAGCAACAAAUGCCCUGCUUCCAGGAAAAGCCUCUAAGCAUCAGGUAACAUCAAAUCGUACCCCAAACCGACACAGGUGGUCAGGUAGAGAAUACCAAGGCGCUUGAGAGAACUCGGGUGAAGGAACUAGGCAAAAUGGUGCCGUAACUUCGGGAGAAGGCACGCUGACACGUAGGUGAAGUGAUUUACUCAUGGAGCUGAAGUCAGUCGAAGAUACCAGCUGGCUGCAACUGUUUAUUAAAAAACACAGCACUGUGCAAACACGAAAGUGGACGUAUACGGUGUGACGCCUGCCCGGUGCCGGAAGGUUAAUUGAUGGGGUCAGCGCAAGCGAAGCUUCCUGAUCGAAGCCCCGGUAAACGGCGGCCGUAACUAUAACGGUCCUAAGGUAGCGAAAUUCCUUGUCGGGUAAGUUCCGACCUGCACGAAUGGCGUAAUGAUGGCCAGGCUGUCUCCACCCGAGACUCAGUGAAAUUGAACUCGCUGUUGAAGAUGCAGUGUACCCGCGGCAAGACGGAAAGACCCCGUGAACCUUUACUAUAGCUUGACACUGAACAUUGAGCCUUGAUGUGUAGGAUAGGUGGGAGGCUUUGAAGUGUGGACGCCAGUCUGCAUGGAGCCGACCUUGAAAUACCACCCUUUAAUGUUUGAUGUUCUAACGUGGACCCGUAAUCCGGGUUGCGGACAGUGUCUGGUGGGUAGUUUGACUGGGGCGGUCUCCUCCUAAAGAGUAACGGAGGAGCACGAAGGUUGGCUAAUCCUGGUCGGACAUCAGGAGGUUAGUGCAAUGGCAUAAGCCAGCUUGACUUGCGAGCGUGACGGCGCGAGCAGGUGCGAAAGCAGGUCAUAGUGAUCCGGUGGUUCUGAAUGGAAGGGCCAUCGCUCAACGGAUAAAAGGUACUCCGGGGAUAACAGGCUGAUACCGCCCAAAGAGUUCAUAUCGACGGCGGUGUUUGGCACCUCGAUGUCGGCUCAUCACAUCCUGGGGCUGAAGUAGGUCCCAAGGGUAUGGCUGUUCGCCAUUUAAAGUGGUACGCGAGCUGGGUUUAGAACGUCGUGAGACAGUUCGGUCCCUAUCUGCCGUGGGCGCUGGAGAACUGAGGGGGGGCUGCUCCUAGUACGAGAGGACCGGAGUGGACGCAUCACUGGUGUUCGGGUUGUCAUGCCAAUGGCACUGCCCGGUAGCUAAAUGCGGAAGAGAUAAGUGCUGAAAAGCAUCUAAGCACGAAACUUGCCCCGAGAUGAGUUCUCCCUGAGACUUAGAGUCUCCUGAAGGAACGUUGAAGACGACGACGUUGAUAGGCCGGGUGUGUAAGCGCAGCGAUGCGUUGAGCUAACCGGUACUAAUGAACCGUGAGGCUUAACCUU
rnacentral:rRNA from 1 species